GUGGGGAAUAUUGGACAAUGGGCGAAAGCCUGAUCCAGCCAUGCCGCGUGUGUGAAGAAGGUCUUCGGAUUGUAAAGCACUUUAAGUUGGGAGGAAGGGCAGUAAGUUAAUACCUUGCUGUUUUGACGUUACCGACAGAAUAAGCACCGGCUAACUUCGUGCCAGCAGCCGCGGUAAUACGAAGGGUGCAAGCGUUAAUCGGAAUUACUGGGCGUAAAGCGCGCGUAGGUGGUUUUGUAAGUUGGAGGUGAAAUCCCCGGGCUCAACCUGGGAACUGCCUCCAAAACUGCAUGACUAGAGUACGGUAGAGGGUAGGGGAAUUUCCUGUGUAGCGGUGAAAUGCGUAGAUAUAGGAAGGAACACCAGUGGCGAAGGCGACUACCUGGACUGAUACUGACACUGAGGUGCGAAAGCGUGGGGAGCAAACAGGAUUAGAAACCCGAGUAGUCC
rnacentral:rRNA from 1 species